rnacentral:rRNA from 1 species
GUCCUUUUGUUAAUAAUUUAAGGUCUGACCUGCCCACUGAGAUUUUAAAUGGCCGUGGUAUUUUGACCGUGCUAAGGUAGCAUAAUCAUUAGUUUUUUAAUUAAAAACUGGAAUGAAAGGUUGGAUAAGAAAAUAGCUGUCUCUAUUAAAUUUAAUUAGAAUUUUAUUUUUAAGUUAAAAAGCUUAAUUAUUAUUAAAAGACGAGAAGACCCUAUAGAGUUUAAUUAUUUAAUAAAAAAUAUAUUUUAGUAUUUAUUUAUUUAUUUUAUUAAAUAAUUUAAUUGGGGUGACUGAAAAAUUUAAGUAACUUUUUUUAUUUUAAAACAUUAAUUUAUGAACAUAUGAUCCAAUAUUUUUGAUUAUAAGAUAAAAUUACCUUAGGGAUAACAGCGUAAUUUUUUUAGAAAGUUCAUAUUAAAAAAAAAGAUUGCGACCUCGAUGUUGGAUUAAAAUAAAUUUUUGGUGUAGAAGCUGAAAUAUUAGGUCUGUUCGACCUUUAAAAUUUUAC